rnacentral:tRNA from 1 species
UGCGGCUGGAUCACCUCCUUUCUGGAAAACAGCAUUCAAUAUUGAACGCCCACACUUAUCGGUUGUUGGAAGAAGUCGGUGCUAACCGACAUGGGUCUGUAGCUCAGCUGGUUAGAGCACCGUCUUGAUAAGGCGGGGGUCGUUGGUUCGAGCCCAACUAGACCCACCAAAUCUUCCGAACAUAAGAUGCGAGGAUCAGUGGGGGAUUAGCUCAGCUGGGAGAGCACCUGCUUUGCAAGCAGGGGGUCGUCGGUUCGAUCCCGUCAUCCUCCACCAACCAAUAUGUCCUGCGGUAGGGCAAAGAAACUAACACCAAAGCGGCUUCGCAAGAGGCCUCUUUGUUGUUGGUCCGGUAUAGACCGGGUCAAUCGGCUGUUCUUUAAAAAUUCAUAGAGUCGAAUCAGCGUUGCCGGCGGAAAGCAGGAAACUGCACCGUGCCGUCGGCAACAAAAAUUUGAUUGCGUCAAAACGAAUAUUCAAUUGAGCGAAAGCUGAUUGAAAUUCAGUAAUGACGAAUUGUUCUCUAGGUAGCAAUACCGAAGAAGAAUUCACAUUACGGCAUAACGCGCGAGGUGAAAGACCUCGCAAGUCCUUGAAAGAAAGCGGAGAUGUCUC